rnacentral:rRNA from 1 species
AUUGAACGCUGGCGGCAUGCCUUACACAUGCAAGUCGAACGGCAGCACGGGUGCUUGCACCUGGUGGCGAGUGGCGAACGGGUGAGUAAUACAUCGGAACGUACCUUAUCGUGGGGGAUAACGCAGCGAAAGCUGUGCUAAUACCGCAUACGCCCUGAGGGGGAAAGCGGGGGAUCGAAAGACCUCGCGCGAUUAGAGCGGCCGAUGCCUGAUUAGCUUGUUGGUGGGGUAAAAGCCCACCAAGGCGACGAUCAGUAGCUGGUCUGCGAGGACGAUCGGCCACACUGGGACUGAGACACGGCCCCGACUCCUACGGGAGGCAGCAGUGGGGAAUUUUGGACAAUGGGGGCAACCCUGAUCCAGCAAUGCCGCGUGAGUGAAGAAGGCCUUCGGGUUGUAAAGCUCUUUUGUCAGGGAAGAAACACCGGCUCUAACACAGUCCGGGAAUGACGGUACCUGAAGAAUAAGCACCGGCUAACUACGUGCCAGCCGCCGCGGUAA